rnacentral:rRNA from 1 species
GAUGAACGCUGGCGGCGUGCCUAAUGCAUGCAAGUCGAGCGAACGGACGAGAAGCUUGCUUCUCUGAUGUUAGCGGCGGACGGGUGAGUAACACGUGGAUAACCUACCUAUAAGACUGGGAUAACUUCGGGAAACCGGAGCUAAUACCGGAUGAUAUUUUGAACCGCAUGGUUCAAAAGUGAAAGACGGUCUUGCUGUCACUUAUAGAUGGAUCCGCGCUGCAUUAGCUAGUUGGUAAGGUAACGGCUUACCAAGGCAACGAUGCAUAGCCGACCUGAGAGGGUGAUCGGCCACACUGGAACUGAGACACGGUCCAGACUCCUACGGGAGGCAGCAGUAGGGAAUCUUCCGCAAUGGGCGAAAGCCUGACGGAGCAACGCCGCGUGAGUGAUGAAGGUCUUCGGAUCGUAAAACUCUGUUAUUAGGGAAGAACAUAUGUGUAAGUAACUGUGCACAUCUUGACGGUACCUAAUCAGAAAGCCACGGCUAACUGCGUG